AGUGAACGCUGGCGGUAGGCCUAACACAUGCAAGUCGAACGGCAGCACAGUAAGAGCUUGCUCUUACGGGUGGCGAGUGGCGGACGGGUGAGGAAUACAUCGGAAUCUACUUUUUCGUGGGGGAUAACGUAGUGAAACUUACGCUAAUACCGCAUACGACCUACGGGUGAAAGCAGGGGAUCUUCGGACCUUGCGCGAUUGAAUGAGCCGAUGUCGGAUUAGCUAGUUGGCGGGGUAAAGGCCCACCAAGGCGACGAUCCGUAGCUGGUCUGAGAGGAUGAUCAGCCACACUGGAACUGAGACACGGUCCAGACCCCUACGGGAGGCAGCAGUGGGGAAUAUUGGACAAUGGGCGCAAGCCUGAUCCAGCCAUACCGCGUGGGUGAAGAAGGCCUUCGGGUUGUAAAGCCCUUUUGUUGGGAAAGAAAAGCAGCAGGUUAAUACCCCGCUGUUCUGACGGUACCCAAAGAAUAAGCACCGGCUAACUUCGUG
rnacentral:rRNA from 1 species